ensembl:rRNA 5S_rRNA 5S ribosomal RNA
UACAACCACACCACCCUGAACGUGCCUGAUCUCAUCUGAUCUUUGAUAAGCAGGGUCAGGAUUGGUUAGUACUACUUGCAUGGGAGAUCAUUGCUGUUAAAA